GAGGCUAGGGGCAGGAAAAGCUAUGGUCAAAUAAAAAACUGUCCAAACAAAUAGUCUCCCAAUCACCCCCAGCCAUGCUUAUACAGCCCUCUGGCUCUGUACCAGGCAGCCAGUUGUCCAGCCAGACUGUUCCAGUUCUUUCCACCCCCAUCUCCACCUUUAAAAGCCAGUUCUAGAUCCAAGGUUGAGAUCAAUGUCCAGAGGGGUAAUUCUGAUUCGUUCCACUCACCUCACCUCAGACUCUCUCUCCACCUCAACCCAUGAGCCACUCUGCAAAGCCACAGGGCAAAGCUUAUUCUCCAGAAGCCCCUGUCUCCCAAAUUCAGGAGAGAGCCAGAGAUUCCAGAACCUCCCCACCCAUAGGAACAAAGGGGCCUUUCUUCAGGGCCUCCACAAACUGAUACCCCAGUCAGGAGAAGAGACCAAACUGACAGGGGUUAAGGCCACAGGCUGUAGAGGUGGUUUCCAGAGCAAUGGAGGUGGAAGGGCAGACCUGAAGCAGUCCCUGGGAAAGAGCCCACACUGCCGCAGGACCCCUGCCUGAUGAAAGCUGUGGGGCUUGGUUGCAUCAUCUGCAUGGUUCCAGAGCUGGCGGGAAAGGCUCGGGUUGCGGGUCGAAGACGAGAACCCACUCGUUAGCCAGCACAGUGUCUGUUUAGCAGCCGGCGCAGUCCUCUCCCCUAAUGCCACGUUAAAUGGGCGGUCACGAGGCCCUGGGGCAUCUGACUGCCAGAACGAAGAGAGAACCCAGUUCACCCCACGCGCGCCCGGGAGUUUCAGGGAUUCCCUAGUUACACAUCCGCUGAGGCCCAAGAACACGUGCAGUGUAAAAGCCAGGAGAAUCCGAGAGUUUGUGAAUGGGCAAAGGUAGGAAGUAGGGCUAAUCACUGGUUAUCCAGUCUCCGGAGCCCCGUUCUUACCCGAGCCACCCGGAGGAAAGAAAAGGGCAGCAUCGCAACUCCACGUCGCAGGAGGUACAGCCACCAACUCUGGUCGGAGAGUAGCAAAAUGUUGGAAAACACCGUUCCGAGAGCGCAUGCGCGAGAACGACCCGAGAAGCCCGGCAAGGGAAGGAGAACACGCGUGCGCAAUGGUGCCACCUUUGUGGCCUUUUGGGAAUUGUAGUUUUCUUCCGCUUCAUUCCACAUCUGUAGCCCCAAGGCUAAAGAACCUUGCUUGAAAGAAUACUGGACUGCUACAUAUUCUAACUAUCCUGAAGAUAUCCGGGAUUUCUUUUUCCUGUCAAUUGUUAAGACAAGAGUUUAUUGGAUAUCUACUGAAUAUCGAGUAUUCUUAGGCUCUCUGGGAAAUCCAGAGACUCCCAUACAAGAUAGGGUAGUGCUGUGGAAAUCACUGUGGUUUGAAAGGGUGGGACACUUGAGUUCAAGUUUCAACCCCAGGUAGUAGCAAAUUAGCUUGCUGUACCUCAGUUUCUUCAUUUGUAAAGUCAUAAUAAAAUAUCAUGCGGUGGGGAUGAAA